rnacentral:tRNA from 1 species
GCCACGGUGGUCCAGCGGUUAGAAGGCUGGCCUUGUAAUCCUGGGGUCUCGGGUUCGAUUCCCGGCGGUGCCC